ensembl:lincRNA
CAUCCUUUUGGCCUUUCUCUAAUGCAUUCUGAAUAUUUUCUCCUGAUUUAUAUUCCAAGUUCCCUGGUCGAAUCUUUGGCUAUCUCCGCUCUACUGUUAAACUGUGUGUUGGAUUCUCCAUCAUGGUUACUGUAUAUAUAUAUAUUUUUAGUUUUAGACUUUCUACUUGAUACUCUUUCAAAUCAAAGUCACCUUUUCUGAGUUCCCACUUCCCAGCUGAAAUUUCCAAGCUCUACGUUUUUCUCUUUUCAGACAGAAAACAUGGUUUAGGAGUCUGCACCCAAUACUUUCACCAUCCUAAGUCCAUACGUCUUUGUGGGUUUGUUUUUGUUAUCAUUUCCCACAACCACUUCUCACUCACAGAGAACUUAACACUUGACAUUGCGUUCAAACUUUUUUGUUUUUGUAGAAAUAAUAUUUACUUGUUUCUGACAGUCUGGGACCACAGGAACUGAAGUUCCAGACUUGAGGUUCCCAGAGUCCCCCUCGUGCAAGCUGUCUCACACACCGGAGGCUCCCAGACUCCCCUGCGUGUUAGCAUCACCUGGGGAGCCUCCCAAUGGACCUCCACCUGUGUCCCGCCCCCAGGGAUGGGGACUUCAUUAGUCUGUGGUGCUGCCUGCAGUUGGGAAUUUUUAAAAGCUCCCCAGAGAUUCUAAUGGGCAGACAGACAUAUAUGGGAAGCUCUGCCCUGAGAGCAAAGUCCUUAAGCACCUGCACUUAACGUGCGGGUGUUUAUCAGGCUCUCCACCGGGCCGGCCCUUUUAUCUCUUUGGCCCAGACAGGCUGCCAAAUACCACAGCUCCAAGCUGCGGCCGUGGCUUCUCGAGCAGAGCAAAACCAGCUUUGGGAGCUUGCUUCUCGGAUUCUCCGAAAUGUUGGCAUCGUAAUCCAGCACGAUCUGAUCAGCUUUUUGGUGCUUUCAGGAAGAAAAAAAAAAUGUAUUUAUGUAUAUUUACAAAAGGGACUGCCCAGCUGCCGCUUUGGGACUCCACAGAGCAUGAACAACCGAGUCAUUGCCUGAGAUCCUGGACUAGCCUGAGAACAUGGGUCUGUAUUCAAGAUCCCCAAGUGCUGAUGGAGCCCUCUGGAGCUUGGAAAUCCAGGUUGACCACCUGCAAACAUGUUGGGAUGACUCUGAACUGCAAGAACAUCCCCUCGCUCACAAGAGCAUCGCGGACCGGUUCACGUCUCUCUGCCUCUUCGCGCUGUCACCCACGUCCCCAAGUUCAAGGCCCCAACCUCUCUAGCCUGCCAUUCUGUAAUAGUUCCCUGAUCUCCAUCUCUCCAGGCUUAGAUACUUGAAAUCCUUUCUCUACUCAGUGGUCAAAGUAACCCUUCUGAAUGUUAUCAGAUCAAAUGCCAGCUGGUUGCUGCUCCCCUUCCCCACCUCACGCCUCCUUAGAACCCUUGGAUGGCUUCCCAGUACACUUUGGCAUAAAAUCCCAAAUCCUUACCACAGUCCACACAGGCCUGCCUUAUGGAUACCUCCCUCCCACCACCCCAUGCCUGCUCAGCACCCAUGCACCUGCUUCUGACAGCUGCUUCUCCAGUUUUCGGUGGAGAAUUAUUCUCUCUCUGAUUCUUACCGCAAGCUGACUCCACUCCACUCCCUGUAUCGGGGGUCAUCAUGCAGUCAGCGUAUUCUUUUUCUAUGUCACAACGAUUGGCCCAGAGAGGAAUCACAUCUCCUGAGCUGAUCCAGUAAGACUGAAGCCCAGGUCUUCUUGCUGCAACCGUGGGGAUUGCUGGCUGCAAAGGCAGUGAACACCGGGGGCUUUGGGAACUCGUCUAGACAGAGUGUCAAGCGUGCAAGGCCUGUUGACUCUUUCUGAACCCAGUUCAGUCCCAUGCCGUGCCUCUACUUUUCAGCUGAGCCAGUACAUUCCCCGUUUAAGUUGGGUUUCCAGGCUCGCUUCUCCUACAGGGUUGGAUUCCUGCCUGGACUUACGUCUUAUCACAAACCUUUCUUGUCUCUGUGCUCAGCCUCGGACCAGAGACACAUGAAACCCUCUCUCACUUCAAUGUCCUGGCCUUGUGUCCAUGUUGCUUAGAAUUAUCUUCCUCACAUUUUUAAGAGGCUAGCAUACUCUCAUUUCUUCUAAUCCUCUCCUCCUUCUUCCUCUUCUCUUUUUAUUUUUGGGGGCAGAGGGAGAGAGAGAGAGAGAGAGAGAGAAGCAGACUCCCCAUGGAGCACAGAGCCCAUCAACGUGGGACUCGAUCUCAAGACCCUGAGAUCAUGACCUGAGCUGAAAUCAACAACCAGAUGCUCAACCAACUGAGCCACCCGGGCACCCUACAAACUCUCAUUUCUUAGGUCCACACUCAGAUAUCACCUCCUUAAAGAGCCCUUCCAAAACGACCCAUCUAAGUAGAAGAGGCUCCUUCAGUUCCAUUUGUCAGGUCCCCUGGCUUCGUUUCGGGCAAUGAUCAGAACCUGUAUCUCACACUUUACCUCUCCCUGUACUUGUUUAUCUUCUGGCUCCCUCCAUUAAAAUAUUAGCUUUAUAUGGGCUAAGAUCUGCCUGUCUCGCUCAGCAUGUCCCCCAGGAUCUAGCUAGCUCAGGGUCUCAGAUGCCGUACAUGCUUUGUAAGUGUUGGUUCAGCGUGUGAAUGAGGAAAUGCACGCAUGCAUGCUUGACUCUCUGUAGAGGGAGUCCACUGUAAAAGGUCUUGCUUCCUUGGCCUUGCCAGCAGGGCUCUUACAGGCACCACCAGUAAUAAAGUCGUAGCAGCAACAGCAGACAUGGGGAUCAGGCUCGCUUUGUGCUGGGACUUCUUCUAGGUGUUUUGGACAGCUUAGCGCAUUUCCUUCCCGCAGCCACUGGGGUAGACUAAUGAAAGCCACAGGUUCUUUGAUACUCCUCUCUUUGAGAACUGAGGUUAAGGCCCCUUCCCUCCUGUUGAAUCUGGACGGCUCUAGGGCUGCUGUAACCAGCAGAAUACGGCAGAAGUGAUGACCUGUCAGUUUGGAACUGGAUUUGGGAACUGUUGCUCUGAGGCACCCACUCUAGGGAAAGCCAGACCCAGGUAAGAAGUUUGUGCUGGAGAAAUUACGGGGCGGGGACGCAAUGCUCCCUGAAGAGAGAUAGAGGGACCAGCAGACCCUGAGAACCUUCGCUCUCAGGUUGUCCCCUCUGCAACAUGGCACCCUCUGUGUGCGACUCUCAUCUCCUCCAGGACUCUUUCCAUGGUGUCUCUGCCCCUGGGUUGAGUUGAGUGCCCCUUCUGUGCUGGUGCAGGGUGUCCUUCUGUGGUGCAAAUGGAGAUGUUGACAUGGCUGGGUCCCUACUGGUCUGUAGGCUUCAUGAGGACAAAGACUGUGUCUUCUUCUUCUUCUUCUUCUUUUUUUUUUUUAAAGAUUUUACUUAUUUACUUGAGAGAAAGAGAGAGAGCAUCAGGGAGAGGGGGAAGCAGGUUCCCUACUAAACAGAGAGCCCCAUGCGGAACUCAGUCUCAGGACCCUGGGAUCAUGACCCAAGCCAAAGGCAGACGCUUGACCGACUGAGCCACCCAGGCACCCCAGACAGAGACUGUGUCUUACUUGUCUUUGUAGCUUCAGUGUUCAACGCAAGUCCUGGCCAGCUCAGUGUUGGUGCUCAG